GAUGAACGCUGGCUGUGUGCCUAAUACAUGCAUGUCGGGCGGAAGUAGCAAUACUUUAGCGGCGAAUGGGUGAGUAACACGUGCUUAAUCUACCUCUUAGAUUGGAAUACCUAAUGGAAACAUUGGUUAAUGCCGGAUACGCAUGGAGUCGCAUGACUCCGUUGUGAAAGGGGCCUUUAAAGCUCCACUAAGAGAUGAGGGUGCGGAACAUUAGCUAGUUGGUGAGGUAACGGCCCACCAAGGCUACGAUGUUUAGCCGGGUCGAGAGACUGAACGGCCACAUUGGGACUGAGAUACGGCCCAAACUCCUACGGGAGGCAGCAGUAGGGAAUAUUCCACAAUGAGCGAAAGCUUGAUGGAGCGACACAGCGUGCACGAUGAAGGUCUUAUGGAUUGUAAAGUGCUGUUGCAAGGGAAGAAAAAGUAGUUGAGGAAAUGCUUCUACAUUGACGGUACCUUGUUAGAAAGCGAUGGCUAACUAUGUGCCAGCAGCCGCGGUAAUACAUAGGUCGCAAGCGUUAUCCGGAAUUAUUGGGCGUAAAGCGUUCGUAGGCUGUUUAUUAAGUCUGGAGUCAAAUCCCAGGGCUCAACCCUGGCUCGCUUUGGAUACUGGUAAACUAGAGUUGGAUAGAGGUAAGCGGAAUUCCAUGUGAAGCGGUGAAAUCCGUAGAUAUAUGGAAGAACACCAAAGGCGAAGGCAGCUUACUGGGUUUAUACUGACGCUGAGGAACGAAAGCGUGGGGAGCAAACAGG
rnacentral:rRNA from 1 species